rnacentral:rRNA from 1 species
GACGAACGCUGGCGGCGUGCUUAACACAUGCAAGUCGAGCGGUAAGGCCCUUUCGGGGGUACACGAGCGGCGAACGGGUGAGUAACACGUGGGUGACCUGCCCUCAGCUCUGGGAUAAGCCUGGGAAACCGGGUCUAAUACCGGAUAUGACUCCAUGACGCAUGUUGUGGGGUGGAAAGCCUUGUGCGGCUGAGGAUGGGCCCGCGGCCUAUCAGCUUGUUGGUGGGGUGAUGGCCUACCAAGGCGACGACGGGUAGCCGCCCUGAGAGGGCGACCGGCCACACUGGGACUGAGACACGGCCCAGACUCCUACGGGAGGCAGCAGUGGGGAAUCUUGCGCAAUGGGCGAAAGCCUGACGCAGCGACGCCGCGUGAGGGAUGACGGCCUCGGUGUAA